rnacentral:rRNA from 1 species
AGAGUUUGAUCAUGGCUCAGCCUGAACGCUGGCGGCGUGGCUAAGACAUGCAAGUCGCACGGUGUAGCAAUACACAGUGGCGAACGGGUGAGUAAUGAAUCGCUAAUGUACCCCGGACUCUGGGAUAGCUACCCGAAAGGGUAGGUAAUACCAGAUGAUAUAUCCUGAUGGCAUCAUCGGGAUCUCAAAGGUCCGCCGGUCUGGGAGCAGGCGAUUUCGUAUCAGCUUGUUGGUGAGGUAACGGCUCACCAAGGCGACGACGCGUAGCCGGACUGAGAGGUUGGCCGGCCACAUUGGGACUGAGACACUGCCCAGACUCCUACGGGGGGCUGCAGUAACGAAUCUUCCGCAAUGCACGAAAGUGUGACGGAGCGACGCCGCGUGUGGGACGAAGCCCUUCGGGGUGUAAACCACUGUCAGGGGUUAGAAAGUUCUGAUCAACCCCAGAGGAAGGCACGGCUAACUCUGUGCCAGCCGCCGCGGUAAUUC